UACGGAGGGGGCUAGCGUUAUUUGGAAUUACUGGGCGUAAAGCGCGCGUAGGCGGUUUUCCAAGUUGGAGGUGAAAUCCCGGGGCUUAACUCCGGAACUGCCUUCAAAACUGGAUGACUAGAGGUCGAGAGAGGUAAGGGGAAUUCCUAGUGUAGAGGUGAAAUUCGUAGAUAUUAGGAAGAACACCAGUGGCGAAGGCGGCUUACUGGUCCGGCACUGACGCUGAGGUGCGAAAGCGUGGGGAGCAAACAGG
rnacentral:rRNA from 1 species